rnacentral:tRNA from 1 species
ACCUGGGUGGCUUAGUUAGUUAGGUGCCUGACUCAACUCAGGUCUUGAUGUCAGGGAUGUGGGUUCAAGCCCUGCUUCGGGUU